rnacentral:lncRNA from 1 species
AUCUCAGCACUCUAAGAGACAAGAUGGUGGAAUUUAACUAGUAUAUGACCUUUCUUUAGGAACGCUCAACUGGUAUCCAGAUGCAGAAGUCUUACUUCCUGCUUUUCUAUGACAUCAUCCUUCAGAAGGCGGGGCAUAGGCAAGAACAUGAUAAAGCACUUCUCCUUCCUGCCAUCAUGUGAAGAAGGAUGUGUUUGCUUCCCCUUCUGCCAGGAUUGUACGUUUCCUGAAG